ACCGCUGGGGAUGGCUGGCGAGCGACUCAGGUGCGGGCGUCACGCGCUCCAGGCUAAUGAGCCUAAUGACACUUUCCCCUCGGUGCCCUGCCGCCUGUCAUUUGUCCUGUUAAUUGAUUUGCUGCUCAUUAAGGAUGAGACGCGCAACCAAAAUGCAAACACAGCGAGCGCGGCAGUGUUCGCUCAGCAAUGCCGGACUUUUCCGAAGCUUUAGGGGCAUGGCGAGCCCUGUGGGGUUCCAUUAUGACCUCAACGGAUCUGUUUCGAGAAGGGGUGUUGCCGGCUUGAAAACCGGCAAGGCUCUGCAUUCUCUUGGACGUGUCGUUCAAACACCUGCUGGCCGAAGGAGAGGAUGGCAGCCUCAGGGAGCCUGCCCAAGAGUGAGCAAUUCCAGGGACAGUGGCCAAAUCUUUUCUGAUUUUAGUUGACGCAUUUUUUUUUUUAAAUUUCUACUUCUGGACAGGCUAAUUAUGUUUAGGCUUUGCACCGGCUUAUGGUUAUAAUCAGAAGUAAGGAGAGGCGUCUCUGGGUGUCUAGUGCAGCUGUCACCAAGGUAAACCACCCUUUGUCCCUGGCUGUUAACCGUGAUGGGUCGGAAAGACACGCAGGGAACCCUCCGAACCCACCUCUGUAAGAUGUCACGGAGCAGAGGUUUCCUGAAGGACACGCCCCUGAAAUCAGCCGCAGCCUCAAUGGCACUGUUGUGGACAGCGAAAGCCAAGGAAGGCUCAAUUCACCAGCCUUCUGAGGUGGACAUUCAUAAUCCGCUCCCUGACGGAGGAGGACACAAGCCUGAGCCUGUCAUUUAGCCGAGAUGACACCACGUAAGGGGCAUUGUCAGGGUGUUGGACAAGGACCUUCGCUCCAGGGUUCACACUUCUGCCCACCAUUCCCCAAAUUGCAUCUGCACUGAUGAAACUCUUCUGCUGACCGGUGUCUGGGACCGCUGCUUCACGGCUGGCGUCUGUGAUGCUUCGGCUAGUGUGUGUCCUAGAUUCAGGCGGGCGUACGUC